rnacentral:rRNA from 1 species
UAGGGCGGCUAUAGCAAUGGGGCUCACCUCUUACCAUUCCGAACAGAGAAGUUAAGUCCAUUAGCGCCGAUGGUACUACUAAUUGUGGAAGAGUAGGUCGCCGCCUUCU